rnacentral:lncRNA from 1 species
GACGGUACCGCCAGUUCUGGGAAUCGCACAGGGGUGCGUACAAAUGGACCAGGACGCGGAGAGCACGGAAACAACGGUGCUGGGACCUUGUGCACAGAAUCCAGAUGCCAGAUGGGAAUUAAACAUUCGGCCGAGAAAAGCAAUCUAGUUCCCUGGGCUCGACUUUGACUCACUCCUUGGUCUGCACCAAUCCUCACAUCCCUCAGGUCCUCUAACUUUUACGACAGUAUCCAGAAAUCGAUUCUUUGGUCUCUACGGCUCCAGAAGGCUCGCUCAUCAAGAAACGUUCCAUUACCUUCGAUUAGAAGUGGAUACAUAUAUGAUUUUGGCCUAAAAAAAAAUUUGCAAAAAGGGAGAAUGCAAACUUGUCCUUUUCCUUUUGGAUUUACGGAGUGCCAGUAUCAGCAGAGUCUAUUGAGGAGGAAUCUCUGAAAAUGACAGCUGAUGGGUGUAGAGACCCACGCCCGGAAUCUCAGCAACUGAAGUGGUUGAAGCAGGAGCAUCUGGGCAGAGCUUGUAAGCAUCUCUAGCUUCUGACUUUGUUGCUGGUGUUAUGGUUUUUGGUUUUCUUUCUCAGAGGCUUUCUGGUGCACCUAGACUGUGCCAGCUCCUUAUAGCCCUCCUUCAGCUCUCCAGCCUUUUGCCUAUGCAGUCUCUGCUCCUAGCCUUUCAUAACUAAUAAACUUUAAAAUUUAUAAACUCCAACAAAUGAAA